GUGCAAUGGCAUAAGCCAGCUUGACUGCGAGCGUGACGGCGCGAGCAGGUGCGAAAGCAGGUCAUAGUGAUCCGGUGGUUCUGAAUGGAAGGGCCAUCGCUCAACGGAUAAAAGGUACUCCGGGGAUAACAGGCUGAUACCGCCCAAGAGUUCAUAUCGACGGCGGUGUUUGGCACCUCGAUGUCGGCUCAUCACAUCCUGGGGCUGAAGUAGGUCCCAAGGGUAUGGCUGUUCGCCAUUUAAAGUGGUACGCGAGCUGGGUUUAGAACGUCGUGAGACAGUUCGGUCCCUAUCUGCCGUGGGCGCUGGAGAACUGAGGGGGGCUGCUCCUAGUACGAGAGGACCGGAGUGGACGCAUCACUGGUGUUCGGGUUGUCAUGCCAAUGGCACU
rnacentral:rRNA from 1 species